GAUGAACGCUGGCGGCGUGCUUAACACAUGCAAGUCGAACGAAGAUGCCGGAGUGCUUGCACUUUGGCAGACUGAGUGGCGGACGGGUGAGUAACGCGUGGGUAACCUGCCUUAUACAGGGGGAUAACAGUUGGAAACGACUGCUAAUACCGCAUAAGCGCACGGUAUCGCAUGAUACAGUGUGAAAAACUCCGGUGGUAUAAGAUGGACCCGCGUCUGAUUAGCUAGUUGGUGAGGUAACGGCCCACCAAGGCGACGAUCAGUAGCCGGACUGAGAGGUUGAACGGCCACAUUGGGACUGAGAUACGGCCCAGACUCCUACGGGAGCAGCAGUGGGGAAUAUUGGGCAAUGGGCGCAAGCCUGACCCAGCAACGCCGCGUGAAGGAGAAGGCUUUCGGGUGUAAACUCUUUGUCAGGGACGAGUAGAAGACGGUACCUGACGAAUAAGCCACGGCUAAACUACGUGCCAGCAGCCG
rnacentral:rRNA from 1 species